GCUGGCGUCCCUCCUUUUUGUCUCCCACUGUCAUCUCUCAUCACAGGGACUUCCGCCUCUUUCCUCGAAGCCACUGGAAGCCCAGGAAUGGGAGCAAGCCGGCUGGCCGGGAGAUGCAGGUCAACAGCCAUGAUGCUUGUAAUUCACUGACUCCCCAGAAAUGUGUCUGGUGGUGUGUGCACAGAGGAGCCAGUGUGGCAGAGCUGGGGUGAAGGUGCACAUGGGGUGUCGGGGAGCCGUGGCUCAUGGACCCCACCCAACACCCCCAUCUCCCUGCUGCACACCUUGCCCGUAGACCUCCUGCUGCUGGGUCAGUUCCUGCCGCAGGCUGGCGGC